CGGGACGGGUGAGUAAUGUAUGGGGAUCUGCCUGAUGGCGGGGGAUAACUACUGGAAACGGUAGCUAAUACCGCAUAACGUCGCAAGACCAAAGAGGGGGACCUUCGGGCCUCUUGCCAUCGGAUGUGCCCAUAUGGGAUUAGCUAGUAGGUAAGGUAACGGCUUACCUAGGCGACGAUCCCUAGCUGGUCUGAGAGGAUGAUCAGCCACACUGGGACUGAGACACGGCCCAG
rnacentral:rRNA from 1 species